rnacentral:misc_RNA from 1 species
AUUUUUGUUAUAAUAACUAGACGUUCAUUACACAAUGUUUGUAAAAUAGCCCCGAAGGGCACGGUUCACAGAGGUUUGGAAUAGUUAUAAGCCCGUGAGGGCGUUCACUAAUGAUCCUUCCGCAGGUUCACCUACGGAAA